GAAGUAUUUGUCACCAUAUGAGAAUGAAGGAGCUCAUGGCGGCCAUUUCAAUUCCGUAGCAUCUGGCAACAGCUUUGAUUCGACAUCUGAGGAUUCAGGAUCGUCGAAUGACACCAUCAAUUCAUUGAUAUCAGAGCUGCCAUAUGAUGGGCCUUUCUCGCCAUCUGAGGCUUUACCACCUGACAACACCAUCGAUUCCUAUGUUCCUGAUCUUGGCAUGAACAAUCUUUAUAGCAGCG